UACGUAGGUGGCAAGCGUUACUCGGAAUCACUAGGCGUAAAGCGCAGGUAGGCGGUUUGGUAAGUCUUUUGUGAAGGCUCCCGGCUCAACUGGGAGAGGUCAAAGGAAACUACUAGGCUAGAGUGUGGUAGGGGAUACUGGAAUUCCUGGUGUAGCGGUGAAAUGCGUAGAUAUCAGGAGGAAUACCUAUGGCGAAAGCAGGUAUCUGGGCCAUCACUGACGCUGAGCUGCGAAAGCUAGGGGAGCAAACAGG
rnacentral:rRNA from 1 species